AUUAUGGGUUUUCCUUCGUAAGCCCUUGCUGGGCUUGAUUCUGGGUCAUUUCCUAGGAACCUAGAUAUGGACCUGGCCAGAGCCCAUCCACCUGGCCAUUAUUUAAUUAACACUUGCUUCAAAUGUGACUUUUAACUGUGAUAGUGUCUUAUUCUCGAUCGGUGGGAUUAACACUGGGAACUUAUCUUCUAGGGACUAAAGUCAGAGAGAAAUGGCUGGUGGGUGACAAGAUGGAUGCUUAGCAUACAAUGGAGCUUCUUUUGCUAUAAUUCCAACCUCUGGCAAGAUUGUUUCUGGAUGUUUCCCUCAUUUUAUGGCAAUGUAUGGCUUAAAACGGAGAGAUGAAAGCUGCCCAGGUUCUCCUGGUUCUGAUAUAGAACUGCCUGGAUUUAUUUUCCCAUCCUGGUGAUGGAACACAUUAGACACGGGUAAAAUUGAUUUCUACAGAGUCCGGACUUUGGAGCCCUCUAAAGCACAACAGACCUUUAGUGUUGGAUUUCAGUGCUCGGCUGAUUUAAUGCGUUCUGCUAACUGCACACAUGAGUGUCUGGUGCAAUCUUCCUGAAGCCACGCAGUUCACUCCAAAGAGACACUCUGGAGUCUGCAAUGUUUUUCUACAUCUCUUUUGUUUCUGGAGGACACCUUUAUCAGAAAUGUUCUCCUGAGCAGAGGUGAGCAGGCCAGCUCAUGGCCAUCUACACGCAACUGUUGACCAGACAGUACGAUUUACACUCCCAGUCUUGGAGCCUUUCAUCAAGGACUGCCUUCACUUACUGCCAGCUGGAUUUUAGCAAGUAUUGCAGAGACUCCUGACCAUCACACAUCACUAGAUGGGGCCGGACCUGGCGGCAUUUCAGACCCAUCUUCUUGCUCCAUCCUCAGUGGAGCGACUCCUGAAGAAGGCAGGAAAGGGCAUGGCUCUCUCUGUUACAUAGAAAAGUUUAUUUGGGGAAACAUAGCACAGAACUAAAGCUCCAUUCACUGUGGUCUGCAGACACAACAGCCUUGGCUGGGAGCUCUUCACCCUCUUAGAUGAAUGUCAGCACAGUGGGGCCAAGUGCCGCCCAUGAAAGCAGUAGGUUGGGCUUCCCCAUGUAACACCGUCGUUUGUUCUCAUCUUUUGGACUUUUCGGAACAAAACUAAAGAUGAACUUAACAUUUAAAGUCA